GACGAACGCUGGCGGCGUGCUUAACACAUGCAAGUCGAGCGGUAAGGCCCUUUCGGGGGUACACGAGCGGCGAACGGGUGAGUAACACGUGGGUGACCUGCCCUCAGCUCUGGGAUAAGCCUGGGAAACCGGGGUCUAAUACCGGAUAUGACUCCAUGACGCAUGUUGUGGGGUGGAAAGCCUUGUGCGGCUGAGGAUGGGCCCGCGGCCUAUCAGCUUGUUGGUGGGGUGAUGGCCUACCAAGGCGACGACGGGUAGCCGGCCUGAGAGGGCGACCGGCCACACUGGGACUGAGACACGGCCCAGACUCCUACGGGAGGCAGCAGUGGGGAAUCUUGCGCAAUGGGCGAAAGCCUGACGCAGCGACGCCGCGUGAGGGAUGACGGCC
rnacentral:rRNA from 1 species